rnacentral:lncRNA from 1 species
AAAUUGUGAGAAAACCUCCAAAAAUUGCACCAAUAUCACUAGGCCACCAACUGGAAAAGUGAAGUAGAAAUCCUAGCAAUGAUUUCUCCUUUUGUGACCAUUAACUUUGUCUCAAAAUUGGUGUGUAUCUUGAUCUUUAAGUCCUCCAAUACCAUGCCAAUUUUUACUUUAAUCCAAUUGAUAGAUCUUUAGAUAUCAUAGAAACCCUACCCAACCUCAAACUGCCACCUUCUGAAACCCUCUUUUGCUAAAAACUAGAUAUCUCUAAACCAUGCCGUUAGAUUAUCAGAAAAUUUUGUAUACACUUGGCACACCCAAUAAUCCAAAUAAUAUUAAAUUUUCAACCAUAGAUGUCAUGCCAAUUGUAUGAAUUAGCCAAAAUUUCUAGUCCUAAUUAUAUUAUAUAAAAUCCAAAUUACUGAUACAAACUUUGACUUUGAACAAUAAUUGCUAAGUCCUCCAAAAUCCUCUCAAAACAAUUCUUAUGCCUUUGGAAAGAACUUCAAGCUAGAUCUCAAAUCCUAACCUCCGAUCUUCAAAUAAAACCCUAUUUUGCCCUAGGCCAUCAUUUUAGUGGCCAAAGGUCUGAUUUCAACCCUGUCUCACAAACGGUUGACCCCCGGGUAUCAAUCUAUCCUAUCCUAAGGAUUUUUUAGCCCAACCCUAC